rnacentral:rRNA from 1 species
AACGAACGCUGGCGGCAGGCCUAACACAUGCAAGUCGAGCGAGCAUUUCGGUGCUAGCAGCGGACGGGUGAGUAACGCGUGGGAACGUGCCCUUUUCUGCGGAAUAGUCCUGGGAAACUGGGGGUAAUACCGCAUACGCCCUUUUGGGGAAAGAUUUAUCGGAGAAGGAUCGGCCCGCGUUGGAUUCGGUAGUUGGUGGGGUAAUGGCCCACCAAGCCGACGAUCCAUAGCUGGUUUGUGAGGAUGAUCAGCCACACUGGGACUGAGACACGGCCCAGACUCCUACGGGAGGCAGCAGUGGGGAAUCUUAGACAAUGGGGGCAACCCUGAUCUAGCCAUGCCGCGUGAGUGAUGAAGGCCUUAGGGUUGUAAAGCUCUUUCAGCUGGGAAGAUAAUGACGGUACCAGCAGAAGAAGCCCCGGCUAACUCCGUG